rnacentral:rRNA from 1 species
UACGUAGGGUGCAAGCGUUGUCCGGAAUUAUUGGGCGUAAGGAGCUCGUAGGCGGCUUGUCACGUCGACUGUGAAAACCCGGGGCUCAACUCCGGGCCUGCAGUCGAUACGGGCUGGCUUGAGUGCGGUAGGGGAGACUGGAAUUCCUGGUGUAGCGGUGAAAUGCGCAGAUAUCAGGAGGAACACCGAUGGCGAAGGCAGGUCUCUGGGCCGAUACUGACGCUGAGGAGCGAAAGCGUGGGGAGCGAACAGG